AACGCGGGGCAACCUGGCGACGAGUGGCGAACGGGUGAGUAAUAUAUCGGAACGUGCCCAGUAGUGGGGGAUAGCCCGGCGAAAGCCGGAUUAAUACCGCAUGAGACCUGAGGGUGAAAGCGGGGGAUCGCAAGACCUCGCGCUAUUGGAGCGGCCGAUAUCAGAUUAGCUAGUUGGUGGGGUAAAGGCCUACCAAGGCAACGAUCUGUAGUUGGUCUGAGAGGACGACCAGCCACACUGGGACUGGGACACGGCCCAGACUCCUACGGGAGGCAGCAGUGGGGAAUUUUGGACAAUGGGCGCAAGCCUGAUCCAGCAAUGCCGCGUGCAGGAAGAAGGCCUUCGGGUUGUAAACUGCUUUUGUCAGGGAAGAAAUCUUCUGGGUUAAUACCUCGGGAGGAUGACGGUACCUGAAGAAUAAGCACCGGCUAACUACGUGCCAGCAGCCGCGGUAAUACGUAGGGUGCGAGCGUUAAUCGGAAUUACUGGGCGUAAAGCGUGCGCAGGCGGCUUUGCAAGACAGAUGUGAAAUCCCCGGGCUCAACCUGGGAACUGCAUUUGUGACUGCAAGGCUAGAGUACGGCAGAGGGGGAUGGAAUUCCGCGUGUAGCAGUGAAAUGCGUAGAUAUGC
rnacentral:rRNA from 1 species